rnacentral:lncRNA from 1 species
AUGGCAGCCGCCCCAGAGGAGAGCAGGGUAUUUUUGGCCGUUCUUCCCGGUUCCCGUGGCUCGUUCCCCGCCGGCACUGGCAGGCACUGCCCGUUCCCCCCAGCCCUGCUCACGGGCCGGGGAUGUCACCUCCCCUUUCGGCCCGGGAUGCCGACCCUCCCGGUGCCCGUGCCCAGCCGAGGCUGGAAGUCUGCCCCGAGCGGCCCCGCAGUCCGGCCUGCCUGCCGGGAGCCGCAGCCCUGGGCCCCGCCUGCCCGCAGGCAGCGUCCCUCGCACCGGCACCGGUGCAGCCCCGCCACGGGCGUGCCCACCGCCGGAAACCUGCGGGACCCGGCCGGCGCCCUCCGGCUCCAAGCAGGCCGCAGCCUAGGGGGACCGGACCGGAUCGGCACGGCGCUGCCCGCCGGGCCCCGCGGAUCCCCGCAGAGCCGCCCCCGCCGCGGUGCCGGGCGGGGUCCCCGGGCACCCCCCGCGCUCUCACCGGGGCUCCCGGCGCGGCCGGCCCGGAGCGAUCCCGGCGCCGCCCCGCCCCGCCGCCAGGGGGCGGCUGCGCGCCGGGCCUGGGGGCGGGGCCGGCGAGAUGGGCGGGGCGUAGCGCCUCAGCACCAGGGGGAGGGGCGGGGGUUCCGGAGGGGGCGGAGCCUGGGCGGGGCGGCCCGAGGGUUUGUCCGCCCCGCGGGGAGUGCGCCCUCUGGCGGACGGGCGGCGGCACGGCCCCUCACAGCUCCCGGCUGCUCCCAGAGCCCUCCAGUGCCUCCCCGGCUGCCCAGCUCUGCAGCUCAGGAGCCCCUCCGUGCGCCGAGCAGGAGGGCUGUGGAUGGAGGGCUCUCCUCUCUCCUCCCCUCCCAGCCCUGCUCCCUCCAGGGCACUGCUGAUCGCCAACCAACGCCAUGUCCUGCAGCCUGCCGCACGUCCCUGCCGGCUGAGCCGCGCCUCAGGCUCCCCGGGCCUGGUGAGGAGCCCCCGGUGAACGGGCCCUUCCUUCCUUCCUUCCCCCGGGCGCUGGGCGAGCAGGGGCCCUGA